GCAGUUGUUUGGGCUGUCGCUGUGGCUGGUUCUGCGGUGUGCGGCCAGCCAUGGAGCGCUCUGGGCCCAGCGAAGUGACAGGCUCAGACGCAUCGGGACCGGACCCGCAGCUUGUGGUCACCAUGGGCUUCACGGGGUUCGGGGUUCGGUAAAAAAGCUCACACAUUUGACUUGGAAGCAAUGUUUGAACAAACUCAAAGAACAGCUGUGGAAAGAAGUCACAAAACACUGGGCCACCAGGAACACACCUGUAGCCCAGCAAAGUUGAGGCCAUCGACUGGCUCAUCACAACAAGGAAGGCUGUGCACCACUGGGACCCAGCAGCAGCUCAGCAGCAGCAGUGAGAGGGCCUUGGGAAAGACUUGGAGGGUUUGGCUUAUACAAGACCAGAUUACAGAGGGGUAUUGAUUUGCCUUGCCCCCGCCCCCACCAUCACAGUGUGUCCCUGUCCAGUGUUGGUGCUGUGUGGCAUUGCUUGUGUCCAUAGGAGUCCAUCAAGGCAGAGCGGCAGAGCGGCAAGCAGAGCGGCAAGGCAGGUCAGCUUCCGGCUCUUCCAGGCUGCAUGUCCCCCUCAAUAUCCUUUCAACCCAAUGGAAAUGGAUUGAAAGAGUGAAAGUCACUGGUCUCAAAGAAUCUACGGAAUUUAGCAUUUUGAAAAUCACAGAGCAAUUUUGGGUAGGUAUUCACAUGCACUAAAAAACCAGGCAAACAUCUGACUCCCAGGAUAAAGUGACUGAGAGCAGUAGAAGACUUGUUGAGCCUUAAGGAAUAAGAGGAAAAUUAUGUUAUGAAGUGCAGGAACAGCACAGACCCAGACGAGGGGAUGCAGCCCGGAGCCAGUAACCCGGCGCCUCCUCCUCCCCAGGGCGCAGCGCUGGCUGCUCCCCGGAUACCGUGAUCACACGUCCCAGGUCCUGAGAGCGCCUCAUAGGUAGACAGUUCUUUGGGACUUUUGGGACGCAGCACUUGAAGAGAGGUUUACCUAAACUUUCCUCCUGGGAGCCUGUCAUCAUUUGAAAGUAACAGAAGAAAGCUGUCAGGCUGAGGAAAGUUUCAACAGGCACUUGGUGAGAAUGGGAAGCAUCCAUUCAUUGGGAAAUCACGGGGACAGAGGAGGAAUUCACGGGAUCAGAGCACUGAGAAACUCCAGAGGCUUCUGGUUCACCGCCCUGAUUCCACAGAUGUGGGUCAGAGGCAGAGAUGGAAGUUGGAAUGGACAAGCCUGCCCUCUCCUCAGCUCUCCAUGGCUCUGUCCUCAGGCUGUUUCUGCAAUUUGACAUGAGGCCUGGCCCCAGGGAAACCAGUGGGGCCUCAUCUCCUCCCUGUGCUGCUCUGAGGUGGAGCCUUCUCAGGGUCAGUCCAGCUCUGGAGCCCCUCUCCAGCUCGGUCACCAAAGCUGUCUGGUCCCAGGGCAGUGUGGAGUGACAGGCACGCCAGCCAAUCCAAUCGGCCAUUUCAUACCCAAUGCAUGUGACUGAUAAAGAGAUAACACCCUGUCUCCAAGACACAGGCUUUACAUAAACAGCUUUAAUGACUUCUUCACUUAGGGACAAGACUCCUUAGUGGUGGAACCUCAGGCAUCCAUGCAGGAUGUAAGAAAGCUCCCGUAUAUACAUGAACUGAGAAGUGUGUAGAAGAGUAAAUACUGUAAUAGGUAAUAAAAUGUAUGUAUUUUUAUUUA
rnacentral:lncRNA from 1 species